rnacentral:rRNA from 1 species
GACAGAGGGUGCAAACGUUGCUCGGAAUCACUGGGCGUAAAGGGCGUGUAGGCGGGAAGGAAAGUCAGAUGUGAAAUCCCCAGGCUCAACCUGGGAACUGCAUUUGAAACUCCCUUUCUUGAGUACCGGAGAGGAAAGUGGAAUUCCUGGUGUAGAGGUGAAAUUCGUAGAUAUCAGGAGGAACACCAGUGGCGAAGGCGGCUUUCUGGACGGUAACUGACGCUGAGACGCGAAAGCGUGGGGAGCAAAC